GUCCUCCUCAGCUUCAGAGCCCUCCCUGAAGGGAAGGCAGGAGAGGAGGGCUGGGCCUGGGCCUGGCUCUCUCCCCGGAGGGCCCUGGCUGCUGGCUCUGCCUGGGCCUGGCUUCCUCUUGCCCCAUGGCGGGGCUCCUUCUCUUCCUCUUGGCCCUGCUGCCAGGGCUCUGGGGGGACCCUGCUGGCCCCGCCGCCGCCGCCUUCUCCUGCAACGUCAGCCUGGCCUCGCCGCCGGAGAGACGCUGGGAGCCGGUCCUGCGCCGCUUCGACCGGGCCUUCCUCCGGGAAGCCUUCGCCAGGGUCCUCCGUGACACCAUCCCCAAAUGGGUUCAUUCCAUUAUUCGUCCUAUUGCUGAAGAAAUAGAAUCCUUUGUUCCUCAGCCAUUUGCAGGAGAAAUCCGAGGGCUUUGCAAAGCCCUGGACCUGAAUGUAGGCGAUGGUCUUCUACUCAAUUUGGCCUAUGAAUCUACUGCGUUCUGCACCAGCAUCAUUGCUCAGGAUAGUAAGGGACAUAUAUACCAUGGUCGGAAUAUGGAUUACGCCUUUGGAGAUAUUUUACGCAAGACCACCAUUGAUGUGAAUUUUGUACAGAAUGGGCAGGUCAAGUUCAGAGGUACUACAUUUUUUGGUUACGUUGGUUUAUGGACAGGGCAGCGUCCACACAAGUUUACAAUCUCUGGUGAUGAGAGAGAUGCUGGCAGCUGGUGGGAGAAUGCUAUAGCUGCUUUACUGAAUCGAAAUAUUCCAGUCAGCUGGCUUGUCAGGACUGCUCUAGACAAGGCAGAAGAUUUUGAAGCCGCUGCUCUUAUGCUGUCUGAGACACCAAUUAUAGCUGAUGUCUACUAUAUCAUCGGCGGUACAACACCCAGGGAGGGUGCGGUUAUUACAAGAAGGAGAAGGGGCCCAGAAGAUAUUUGGCCCUUGGACCCUUUGUCUGGGAGUUGGUACAGAGUAGAGACAAACUAUGACCAUUGGAAAGCCCCUCCUCCUUUUGAUGAUCGAAGAACUCCAGCCAUCAAAGCGCUGAAUGCCACAGGACAAGAAAAUAUUAAUCUUGAGUCACUCUAUAAAGUACUGUCAGUACAGCCAGUUUUGAACAAGAACACAAUUUACACCACUGUAAUGAGUGCUGCAUACCCAGACAGGUAUACAACACAGAUCAGGACCCUGGACUGAAGAUGUAACUUGAACUGGAUGCUGCCUGGGUACCUCCUAUCCUCUCUCAGCCAACUUUGUUGGAGUGAAAAAGGAAGGGAGCCAGAGGCAGAAGAAUAUAAUCAUUAUGUUCCACCAAAGUGAUGAUAAUUCUUGCCCUGCAUCUCCAAGUGUAGCUGUCAAGUUCAGUGGCAGUUUGGGUAUUGUCAUAUAAAAGUAAGGAAGGAAACUCUUCAGAAUAAUGGCUCAGCUGUAUGUGCAAUAUGCAAGCCUGGAUAUGGAUAUUGCACUUGGUAGUCACCAUGCUUUUUUAAAAAGCAAAUCAGUGCUCUCAGACAAUGUGAAAAAGCCCUGUGAUGUGACACAAAUGGGACUGGAAAGGGGAAGAUGGGCUUAAACUGGAUUUCCUGGUGCUGAAAGGCAGGAUUCCAGAAUGUCAUGUAAUUCUCAGUCCCUGUCCUUGUAAUUAUUGAAAGGGGAAUGGAUUGUACAAAUAAGCACAGAUAUGGAAUUCGCUUUGUUUCUUAUGGGUUGCAGAAUCACAUUUUUCUGGUGCUGAAUGAUAGUUAUAAGCAGUUAGCAAGUCUGGAUCAGAUUCAUAUGUGGUUGGAACCAACUCUGUAUUUAUUAAUUUGAUUUGAUAUAUACCCUGCGUGUCUCCAAGAACUGAGGUCUGGAGUAGCUCACAAUACAAUUUUUGAAAAGAUGCAAAUAAAAACACAAAACUGAAUGCACAAGUAGACAAAUUAUCAUAUUAAAAUAGUAGUUUAAAGCAGAUAUCAAUGCAAAGCAUAGUAUGGCCUUCCACAUGCUGCCAAAAGCCAGCAUGAAUAAAAUAGACUUUUUAAACCAGCCAGUAGAAGGGCAAUGAGGAGGGAUGCAGCCUGCAUCCCUUGGAAUAGAGCUCUACAGCUUCGGAGCAGCCACCAAGAAAGCCCUCUCUCAUGUAUCAUGUAUCCACCAAACCUGCCUGUAAAGGUGGGAGGAUGCAGGACUGAAAGAAGGGCCUACCCUAAAGAUCUCAAGACCUAGACAGGCUCAUUUGGCAGAAUACAACCUGUCAAAUAGCAUGGAUCCCCAUUGUAUAGGCAUGCUGCUCUGAAUUCUAGAAAAACAGAAGAGUAUAAGUGAAAUAAUACUGAUGGUACAACAUGCACAGCCAUAGCAGACUGAAGAAACCACUGCACCCCAAAUGCACAAAAGACCCACUGCCCUGCAUCCUCCCUUGAGAAAAGUUGAGACAAUGCUUAUUUUGCACAUCCCUUCUCUUUUAUGCUAAGGGAAAUAACUGAGGAUGCAAUUGGAUUGCCUUUCCCUAAAUGCCAUACCUGCAAAUGCACUGCUUGUUGUCUAAAAUUAAGACGAAAAUACUAAUACUACUACUACUAAUAAUAAUAAUAAAUCUUUAUUUAUAUAGCGCUGUAGAUUUGCACAGCGCUGUACAUGCAAACAAUAAAUAUAUAAGAGUAAACCUGCCUAUGGCGUACAAUCUAAGAAAUAAUAGGAUAAUACAUAUAAAAUACAUAGCAAUAAUAAUAAUCUCUGCUCACUAGGGGCUUAUUUUUGGUACUGCACAAAGAAUAGUAAUCAUAACUUUAAGCAUAAUUGUUUCAGUGCUUGAAUUUGUUUCCUGCCGGCAGGAUUUAAAAGACAGUGAAAUUUUUUAAUUCUUUGUACUUAAAAUUAAUUUUUUUUCCUUGUGGAUAUUUCAUAGGAGACCUAAUAAAUAAAGUAAUAUAUAAAGA